GACGAACGCUGGCGGCGUGCUUAACACAUGCAAGUCGAGCGAAGCACUUGGAACCGAUCCUUCGGGUGAAGUUCCAUUUGACUGAGCGGCGGACGGGUGAGUAACGCGUGGGUAACCUGCCUCAUACAGGGGAAUAACAGUUUGAAAAGACUGCUAAUGCCGCAUAAGCGCACAGGGCCGCAUGGCCCGGUGUGAAAAACUCCGGUGGUAUGAGAUGGACCCGCGUCUGAUUAGCUAGUUGGUGAGGUAACGGCCCACCAAGGCGACGAGCAGUAGCCGACCUGAGAGGGUGACCGGCCACAUUGGGACUGGGACACGGCCCAAACUCCUACGGGAGGCAGCAGUGGGGAAUAUUGCACAAUGGGGGAAACCCUGAUGCAGCGACGCCGCGUGGAUGAAGAAGUAUUUCGGUAUGUAAAGUCCUAUCAGCAGGGAAGAAAAUGACAGUACCUGACUAAGAAGCCCCGGCUAACUACGUGCCAGCCGCCGCGGUAA
rnacentral:rRNA from 1 species